CGUGAGACGAGGUCAGAAAACCGUUGAUGUGGCGAAGGACAUGCGAAAGGUCCGGCGUAGAGGGUAAGACCCCCGUAGACGAAACGUCAGCGGCUCGUUUGAGAGACACCCAAGUAGCACGGGGCCCGAGAAAUCCCGUGUGAAUCUGGCGGGACCACCCGCUAAGCCUAAAUAUUCCCUGGUGACCGAUAGCGGAUAGUACCGUGAGGGAAUGGUGAAAAGUACCGCGGGAGC
rnacentral:ncRNA from 1 species